rnacentral:rRNA from 1 species
UUCAAUACUAUUUAAGCAAUUAAAUAGUGUGCACUUCUCUUUUAGUAAGACGUUGUGAUCCAUUAGGAAUUGAUUGUUCAAACAAUUAUUGAGCUACCAAUAGACUGAUAUUGAAGUUCAUAAUGAUAAAUAAUAUAAUCUAUAUGUUUAUAUAUAUUAUCUUGUGAGCAUAUCAUGUACUGAUGUAGCUGCCUUAUGGAUUUUAAAGGUUAUAACAUUAAUAUGAAUAUAUUAUCCGUUUUU